ensembl:snoRNA
GGCCUCCUGGUACUUACCACAGGUUGUGUUCUUACAUUGACUGUAUAGAAAGAGGAGGCUAUACAACUUACCUCUUCUCUCUUGGACAAAUAA